rnacentral:lncRNA from 1 species
CGGAUCCACCUCACUUUGUGUCUUCUGCUGCUCUUAAGAGACUAAUGAGGAAAUUUUCCUGUGACUGCUUCACUUGUGCGCUCCCUCUCUGCAUUGAGCAGCUAAUGACAUCACUGCUGCUGAAAACCAGUUCUGAGCCCAGGAGACUGCAGCACUACGGAGCUUCAGGGAAGGAAAGCAAACGGCCGCAGGAUCUCCCUGGAUGCUGCCUUAUCCCCACGGGCUCUGACCCUCCCGAGCUGCAAAACACAUCUGAAGGAGGGGAUUGGGUGAGCUCAGGAGUGGAUUUCUGCAGCAACUCCGUGAAGCUGAGAGCUUUUCUAGCAACACACAUUCUGGAUCCUCUCAGAAAGGUAUUCACCUCACCUGAAUUUGGAUGGUUUGAAGUUUAAUUUGUCAGACUGAGCUAGUUAACGUGCUUCUCUCUGUAGUUAAUGGAGAGAAAUAAGAGCUGCUAGAGGGCAAUUCCUCUGACCCGUUGUUAACACUUGUCUCAGCAUGAGAGAAAUAGCCCUCUGGAGAGGCUGCCUUCUGCACUGACUGUAAAGAGACAAAGAUGAGCAGCUCAAGCUCUCAAGCCCCAUUUUUUGACAAAUCCCAUAUGAAGUGCAGGUGGGACUGCCCAGCCAGCAGCACCCCCUGCUCACCUCAACACAACUCAAAGCCUCUCACCAGCUUAAAGACCCGGACUUGUCCUUCGAAAGCUCCAUGCUGAAGAGUUGCUAUUAUUUUUCACGUAGACUUCACUGGAUUUGAUUCCCCGAAGAGCAUCUGGGGAGCACUGGGGGAACAGAGAAGGGCUACAGCUCUGUGCUCAUCCCUACUGCUCCGGGGUGAAGGUGUGAGGAGCCCCAGCCCUGAGCAGAGCAUAUGGUGGGCACAACCCAACCUGUCCCCACCAGCGGCCCCAGCCCAAGGGAUGC